ACACACAUUCACCCCCCUUCUACUCAUCUUCUCCAAACCACCUUCCGUAAUCCUAAACCACCAAAACUCCAUAAGUGCCCGUCCCACCUUCAACCAAACAACCACCCCUUCCCACCUUCUUCCCCGCUGUCACGCAAAACCACCAUGAACACCCACGAAACCAAGCAGUCCCCCAGCAUCCCCCUUCUACUCAUCUUCUCCAAACCACCCUCCCUAACCCUAAACCACCAAAACUCCAUAACUGCAUGUCCCACCUUCAACCAAACAACCACCAUUUCCCGCCUUCUUCCCCGUUGUCACGCCAAACCACCAUGAACACCCACGAAACCAAGAAGUCCCCCAUCAUCAACUAACACGUCGCCCCAACAGUCAGUUCCCCACGACGCUAACCGGCAGUCCCACGCCGACCCCAGCGAACCAGCCACCCCCCAUGGCGCUAACCAGCAAACCCUGAACGUUGCUCACUUAAACGUCCCACCUUAUCUACUUGUCUGUUUGGUCUUCACAAGACACAAACAAAAAAGAACCUAGAAACCUAGACCAAAGCUUUAGCCAUUUGAAUCCAAAGUAGCGGCUUCCUCUCAUUCACAGUAGUUCUGCCAUUUCCAUGGUCGUCAUUGCCAUCGAAGGUGAUGACUGGUGUUGGCCAUGGCUGCUUCACCAUAAUUAUUUUCUUUUCCUUCACCUAUAACGUGUAGAUUUGGCCAGAAACAUCCAAGUUUCGAUAAUUCUCAGGCCCCCGAGUCACUACUUGGUUUGUUCGUUGAUUGUUAGUUCCGUUCGAGUUCAUAGAGAGCCCGUUUGAGGUCGUAGACUGAGUUUCACAUUCGUCAUUCCAUUCUAGCUCUGUUGUUUGGGUUCGUUCCAUUCCGUUUGAGGUUUUUGGAUAGAUUUGAAUACGUCGAGCUAAGGUCUCCGGUCCAAAAAUUUGGUUCGAUGUUGAUUAAAGUCAUUGUUCAAAGAUUCGAGUUUCCGUCAAAGUCCGGGCAGAUUUGUUUUUAGUUCGAGUUUGUCGUUGUUCUGAUCUGGUUAGCUGGUUUAAUUUUUGCUCUUUGUUGUUCAUUUUAGUUUAAAUUGAAUUGAAUUUGAUUAAGAAUUUGGUUAUAGCUGUAGUAAGUUGGUGUUCUUUCUGAUAAUUUUGGUACAGAUUGUAGGGAUGGGGUGGAAUGCUAAUUUUCAAUAAUUUCA
rnacentral:lncRNA from 1 species